GACGAACGCUGGCGGCGUGCCUAAUACAUGCAAGUUGAGCGAUGAAGAUUGGUGCUUGCACCAAUUUGAAGAGCAGCGAACGGGUGAGUAACGCGUGGAGAAUCUGCCUUUGAGCGGGGGACAACAUUUGGAAACGAAUGCUAAUACCGCAUAAUAACUUUAAACAUAAGUUUUAAGUUUGAAAGAUGCAAUUGCAUCACUCAAAGAUGAUCCCGCGUUGUAUUAGCUAGUUGGUGAGGUAAAGGCUCACCAAGGCGAUGAUACAUAGCCGACCUGAGAGGGUGAUCGGCCACAUUGGGACUGAGACACGGCCCAAACUCCUACGGGAGGCAGCAGUAGGGAAUCUUCGGCAAUGGACGAAAGUCUGACCGAGCAACGCCGCGUGAGUGAAGAAGGGUUUCGGAUCGUAAAACUCUGUUGGUAGAGAAGAACGUUGGUGAGAGUGGAAAGCUCAUCAAGUGACGGUAACUACACAGAAAGGGACGGCUAACUACGUG
rnacentral:rRNA from 1 species